GGGGCCUGCUGAAACCAAGAGGGGGCGCCAGUGGGGCUCCUGCAGAGAAGGGGCCUGAAUUCCAAGUCCCUACCAGGCCACCUAUGGGUGCCGGGGACCAGUCCCUCGGGCUCCUGAGCAAAGCUGGGGUCAUGAGGAGGUCCAGCAGAGACACCCCCCACAAGAUGCCCCAAAUGACUCCCACGUGUGCCUCAAGGGAGGAAGGUACACACCCCAGUGUCCAGGCCCCCCACAGCUGGACCCCACAGUGAUGGGAGGAAGGUACCCACUCCCAGUGUCUGGGCACCCCCGCCAGCUGGACCCCACAAGCUGAAGCCAGGUUGGGGAGAGGGUGGUGUGCUUGGGGGCUUCCCAGAGUGGAAGGCUAAGGGGGGGGGGGGGGAAGGGACGGAGGGGAGGCAGCAUUCCAGGCACCAGGGCGGCCCUGGCAGGAGGGGGGGAGAUUCAGCAAGGAGAGAGGAGACCCUCCCCACUGCAGUUCAGGCCUCUCUUCCACAACCCCGGCCCCACCUGCCCCUGCCCCUCACAGCCCCAACCCCCAAAACCUUGGCUGGACACCCGGCCCCCCUGGCCCACAAGCAGGUGACAGAGAGUGGCCUAGGGCAGACUUUCUGGAGGCAGUCCCCCUCCUAGGAGUGUGCUCCCAAGGGAAACUCACAUUUGGGGUGCACGUGGAGGCCUCUUUCUCUGAUUUGCACAAGACAAAUGAGGGUUGGCCCAGCCCCCCCUCCUCCACCGCAGGGAUGGGAGUGAGUGAGCAGAGAGGCCCAGGGGGCCGCAGGCAAUAGGGGCAGGGGUGCCACACGCCGAACUUGGAGCAGCCAGAGGCCCACCGCCAGGCACCGGGAGGUAACUGGCACCUGAGGGCACUGAGGGGAGGGCGAGGCAGGGAGGCGGGAAAGAGCGAAACACCCCACGUCACGCUCAGAGUACCCCUCUCGGCAGAUCAAGCCCCUCACACACAGGCACGGCCAGUGCGUGUCUGAGGAGACAGGAUGCAGAGGGGUGACCGGUCACGGGAACGAGCACCCGCCGCCGGGGUGGCCUCGCCGGGACACACGGGAGGCCUUGCCGCUGGCUCGGCCUCCUCUCCUGAGGUCCCCCAAACAGACAGACGUGUCCGCCUCAGUCCACCUCAGCCCAGGGCCACCUGCUCCCGAAAGGCUCUCGUGGGCGGCACGCAGGCCCACCCCACUGCCCGCCCCACCCCCACCACAGCCUCUGGGGCUCUGAGAGCAGCUUCCUGUGUGCUGGAAGCCCCCGGCCCGCCCCCAGUCUGCAUCCAAGGGGCAGUUGUCCCCAAGCAGGAAGCAGGUGCACAUGCCACGUGUCCCCAAAGGCUGAAUGGACACAAGGGGACAUUCUCUCCACUUGGCUCACUCCACAGGCCCUGAGACCACCUGGGCUGGAGUCGGGGAAGGCAGAGGCUCCGGGCCCACCCCACCCCCACCCUGCGGACAGAGCAGGAGAAACGGAGGUUCCCCAGACCAGCGGCUCACGCUGCUGGCUGCACAGAGCAGGGCAGGGCCGCCGGGCCUUCGGCGCCGUCCUUGUCUAGGCCAAGCCGCGGGUUUCGGCAGAGCCCCAAAGUCCCAGGGAGACCCCCUCAAGCGAAGAGGAAGAGCAGGGCCCCGGGGGCUCCCAGAUGAGCAGGUAGCAGGGGUCUGCUUGACCAGGAUGGGACGGCUGUGUCCCGACAUCCUGUCUGGGCUCCCUGGAGCACUCAGGACAGCCCUCGGGACCAGCACGUCUCCUGUCCCUUGGACCAGGAUCCCGGCCUGCUGCAGGGCACUUAAAUGCACACACACGAAGACAGCAUGAGGAGGGAUGGGCUUUGCGGACAAGCGGACAGAGGGGCCCUCUUAGCUCCGUCACUGCCCUGCCGGAUGGGAAUCCGGUCUAACCUGCCUGUCCUGUGCCCUGUCAGGGGCAAGGACUCAAUUACAAACCCUGUGCCUGGUGGAUCCUGCAGGCUGGGACGGUGCCCCUGGCGUUGAGCCCCUGCACCCUGUCUGCAUCACCCAACCUCUAAAUCUACCCCUGGGGCCCUUCGGCACACCUGUCACUUGGGCCAGGACCUCAUCCCACGGGGGGGGGGGGGGGCGGGGGGGGCGUCCAUGCGGAACCUCUGGCUGGACGGCACCCAAUCCAGGCACCCACUGCCCUCUGCCCAGAGAAGGGCCGCCGGGGAGAACGGAGCGCCGUUUCUGGCCCUCGGGGCUGGGGUGCGGGUGAGCGGGGAGGGGACUCACCGGGCACCACAGGGAGGCUGAAGAGCUGGCUGUGGGGCAGCAACAGGAGCGCCUGCUUCUCCGAGCCCCUGAGCAGCGCAGAGACAGAGACUGGCCCGCUGUGUGGGCGGGGGCCGGGAGCUGGCUGGAUCCCAGGGCCGCGUCAGGACCCAGGACCCAGGACCCUCCCGCCAGCUGUGCGACUAAAGCCUGUGCAGCCAGGAGAGCGGGUGGAGGUGCAGAAGGGCACCCCGGGGAGGGGCCCGGCGUCGCGACAGGGCCACACGGCAUUCCUCUCUGCUGCUCAGCUCUCUCCACCCUGGAGUGUAGGGGCUCACCCUCCAGCAAAGGGCCACGGCGGACCUCUGAGCUGGACCCUGAUAUCCGCUGCCCGCAAGCCUCGCCAGAGACACCUGCCGUGCGAAGCCGACCCCUCCUUCCCCCUCAUCUCCUCAUUCAGGCAUAAGACCUGACAGGUAAAGCAUCCCGUGGAGGAAACUCAAACUUCCCCCAAGCAGUAACGACAGUCUGGGCGAAGAGCUCUGGGGGCCCAGACCGCCCAGACCAGUGUGAGCUCAACCCCCGGCUCACGCCUGCGCAGACGGACCACGGAGUGACCCACGGAGCCGCCGACAGUUACCCUCACCUAAUCACAACGUUCCAUCCUCCAUCCAAGGAAGAGCCCAAGCCUCAUUUCUACAACACACAGCGUGUGCGUACGUGGAAGGUUUCCUUAAGGCCCGUGUGUGACCGCGUGCCCGCCUCUACACGGGAUGACGAGGCUCCCCUUUCUGAAUAUUCCAUCCUAACCCUAAAUGAAAGGAACCCAGCCACCCUUGCUCGAGGGUCACGGCUUUGGAAGUUAUUUCCCGUGAUCUCCUUCUCUGCUGCAAAUAAAGUUUUCUUUGUGUGCUAACUCA